rnacentral:rRNA from 1 species
AGUGAACGCUGGCGGCAGGCCUAACACAUGCAAGUCGAACGGCAGCACAGGGGAGCUUGCUCCCUGGGUGGCGAGUGGCGGACGGGUGAGGAAUACAUCGGAAUCUGCCUAUACGUGGGGGAUAACGUAGGGAAACUUACGCUAAUACCGCAUACGUCCUACGGGAGAAAGCGGGGGAUCGCAAGACCUCGCGCGGAUAGACGAGCCGAUGUCCGAUUAGCUAGUUGGUGGGGUAAUGGCCCACCAAGGUGACGAUCGGUAGCUGGUCUGAGAGGAUGAUCAGCCACACUGGAACUGAGACACGGUCCAGACUCCUACGGGAGGCAGCAGUGGGGAAUAUUGGACAAUGGGCGAAAGCCUGAUCCAGCCAUGCCGCGUGGGUGAAGAAGGCCUUCGGGUUGUAAAGCCCUUUUGUUGGGAAAGAAAAGCGACCGGUUAAUACCCGGUUGUUCUGACGGUACCCAAAGAAUAAGCACCGGCUAACUUCGUGCCAGCCGCCGCCGUAA